GCCGACUUCCAUGGCCACCGUCCUGCUGUCUUUAGUUACUAACGCCUUUUGUGGGGUCCGAUAUGCGUUGAUUUUGGCACUAUAACUUUACGACCGGUUCAUCCCGCAUCGCCAGUUCUGCUUACCAAAAAUGGCCCACUGAAGGCCUUUACUAUCUAUCCACUUGCUACGUAGCACGCUAGCUAAUGGAAAACACACACAUUAACAGUUUGAGAAUAGGUUGAGAACGUUUCGAACCCAACGACUCUAAUCAUUCGCUUUACCGCAUGUGACUAUCGUUACUAGACCUCAGCUAUCCUUAGGGAAACUUCGAAAGGAACCAGCUACUAGAUGGUUCGAUUGGUCUUUCGCCCCUAUACAUAGUUCUGAUGAUCGAUUUGCACGUCAGAACCAUUGCGGACCUCCACCAGAGUUUCCCCUGGCUUCAUCCUUUCCAUGCAUAGUUCACCAUCUUUCGGGUUCCAGAGCACGAGCUACGAGUACGGCAGCGCCAUUGCUGACGCGUAAUUGCCAUCUCCGAUUUGCCUAGACGCCGAUAUAUAAUCAAAACGUCUCAUCAUACAAACUUGAGCCGCCGAAGCGACCCUCAAUUGCUUUCGUUAAGUUUGACGGAUUCUAUAAAAUGAACCUUUGCGUCACGCUCGUUCGCUGGACUCCUUGGUCC
rnacentral:rRNA from 1 species